rnacentral:rRNA from 1 species
GACGAACGCUGGCGGCGUGCUUAACACAUGCAAGUCGAACGAUGAACCACUUCGGUGGGGAUUAGUGGCGAACGGGUGAGUAACACGUGGGCAAUCUGCCCUUCACUCUGGGACAAGCCCUGGUAACGGGGUCUAAUACCGGAUACAACACUCUCGGGCAUCCGAUGAGUGUGGAAAGCUCCGGCGGUGAAGGAUGAGCC